GACGAACGCUGGCGGCGUGCUUAACACAUGCAAGUCGAACGGAAAGGCCCUGCUUUUGUGGGGUGCUCGAGUGGCGAACGGGUGAGUAACACGUGAGUAACCUGCCCUUGACUUUGGGAUAACUUCAGGAAACUGGGGCUAAUACCGGAUAGGAGCUCCUGCUGCAUGGUGGGGGUUGGAAAGUUUCGACGGUUGGGGAUGGACUCGCGGCUUAUCAGCUUGUUGGUGGGGUAGUGGCUUACCAAGGCUUUGACGGGUAGCCGGCCUGAGAGGGUGACCGGCCACAUUGGGACUGAGAUACGGCCCAGACGCCUACGGGAGGCAGCAGUGGGGAAUAUUGCACAAUGGGCGGAAGCCUGAUGCAGCAACGCCGCGUGCGGGAUGACGGCCUUCGGGUUGUAAACCGCUUUCGCCUGUGACGAAGCGUGAGUGACGGUAAUGGGUAAAGAAGCACCGGCUAACUACGU
rnacentral:rRNA from 1 species